rnacentral:rRNA from 1 species
GGUUAAGUUAGAAAGGGCGCACGGUGGAUGCCUUGACACUAGGAGUCGAUGAAGGACGGGACUAACGCCGAUAUGCUUCGGGGAGCUGUAAGUAAGCUUUGAUCCGAAGAUUUCCGAAUGGGGAAACCCACCAUACGUAAUGGUAUGGUAUCCUUAUCUGAAUACAUAGGGUAAGGAAGACAGACCCAGGGAACUGAAACAUCUAAGUACCUGGAGGAAGAGAAAGCAAAUGCGAUUUCCUGAGUAGCGGCGAGCGAAACGGAACAUAGCCCAAACCAAGAGGCUUGCCUCUUGGGGUUGUAGGACAUUCUAUACGGAGUUACAAAGGAACGAGGUAGACGAAGCGACCUGGAAAGGUCCGUCGUAGAGGGUAACAACCCCGUAGUCGAAACUUCGUUCUCUCUUGAAUGUAUCCUGAGUACGGCGGAACACGUGAAAUUCCGUCGGAAUCUGGGAGGACCAUCUCCCAAGGCUAAAUACUCCCUAGUGAUCGAUAGUGAACCAGUACCGUGAGGGAAAGGUGAAAAGCACCCCGGAAGGGGAGUGAAAGAGAUCCUGAAACCGUGUGCCUACAAAUAGUCAGAGCCCGUUAACGGGUGAUGGCGUGCCUUUUGUAGAAUGAACCGGCGAGUUACGAUCCCGUGCGAGGUUAAGCUGAAGAGGCGGAGCCGCAGCGAAAGCGAGUCUGAAUAGGGCGUUUAGUACGUGGUCGUAGACCCGAAACCAGGUGAUCUACCCAUGUCCAGGGUGAAGUUCAGGUAACACUGAAUGGAGGCCCGAACCCACGCACGUUGAAAAGUGCGGGGAUGAGGUGUGGGUAGCGGAGAAAUUCCAAUCGAACCUGGAGAUAGCUGGUUCUCCCCGAAAUAGCUUUAGGGCUAGCCUUAAGUGUAAGAGUCUUGGAGGUAGAGCACUGAUUGGACUAGGGGUCCUCAUCGGAUUACCGAAUUCAGUCAAACUCCGAAUGCCAAUGACUUAUCCUUAGGAGUCAGACUGCGAGUGAUAAGAUCCGUAGUCAAAAGGGAAACAGCCCAGACCGCCAGCUAAGGUCCCAAAGUGUGUAUUAAGUGGAAAAGGAUGUGGAGUUGCUUAGACAACUAGGAUGUUGGCUUAGAAGCAGCCACCAUUUAAAGAGUGCGUAAUAGCUCACUAGUCGAGUGACUCUGCGCCGAAAAUGUACCGGGGCUAAAUACACCACCGAAGCUGCGGAUUGAUACCAAUGGUAUCAGUGGUAGGGGAGCGUUCUAAGGACAGUGAAGUCAGACCGUAAGGACUGGUGGAGUGCUUAGAAGUGAGAAUGCCGGUAUGAGUAGCGAAAGACGGGUGAGAAUCCCGUCCACCGAAUGCCUAAGGUUUCCUGAGGAAGGCUCGUCCGCUCAGGGUUAGUCAGGACCUAAGCCGAGGCCGACAGGCGUAGGCGAUGGACAACAGGUUGAUAUUCCUGUACCACCCCUUUAUCGUUUGAGCAAUGGAGGGACGCAGAAGGAUAGAAGAAGCGUGCGAUUGGUUGUGCACGUCCAAGCAGUUAGGCUGAUAAGUAGGCAAAUCCGCUUAUCGUAAAGGCUGAGCUGUGAUGGGGAAGCUCCUUAUGGAGCGAAGUCUUUGAUUCCCCGCUGCCAAGAAAAGCUUCUAGCGAGAUAAAAGGUGCCUGUACCGCAAACCGACACAGGUAGGCGAGGAGAGAAUCCUAAGGUGUGCGAGAGAACUCUGGUUAAGGAACUCGGCAAAAUGACCCCGUAACUUCGGGAGAAGGGGUGCUUUCUUAACGGAAAGCCGCAGUGAAUAGGCCCAAGCGACUGUUUAGCAAAAACACAGCUCUCUGCGAAGCCGUAAGGCGAAGUAUAGGGGGUGACACCUGCCCGGUGCUGGAAGGUUAAGGAGAGGGGUUAGCGUAAGCGAAGCUCUGAACUGAAGCCCCAGUAAACGGCGGCCGUAACUAUAACGGUCCUAAGGUAGCGAAAUUCCUUGUCGGGUAAGUUCCGACCCGCACGAAAGGUGUAACGAUUUGGGCACUGUCUCAACCAGAGACUCGGUGAAAUUAUAGUACCUGUGAAGAUGCAGGUUACCCGCGACAGGACGGAAAGACCCCGUGGAGCUUUACUGUAGCCUGAUAUUGAAUUUUGGUACAGUUUGUACAGGAUAGGCGGGAGCCUUUGAAACCGGAGCGCUAGCUUCGGUGGAGGCGCUGGUGGGAUACCGCCCUGACUGUAUUGAAAUUCUAACCUACGGGUCUUAUCGACCCGGGAGACAGUGUCAGGUGGGCAGUUUGACUGGGGCGGUCGCCUCCUAAAGUGUAACGGAGGCGCCCAAAGGUUCCCUCAGAAUGGUUGGAAAUCAUUCGUAGAGUGCAAAGGCAUAAGGGAGCUUGACUGCGAGACCUACAAGUCGAGCAGGGACGAAAGUCGGGCUUAGUGAUCCGGUGGUUCCGCAUGGAAGGGCCAUCGCUCAACGGAUAAAAGCUACCCCGGGGAUAACAGGCUUAUCUCCCCAAGAGUCCACAUCGACGGGGAGGUUUGGCACCUCGAUGUCGGCUCAUCGCAUCCUGGGGCUGUAGUCGGUCCCAAGGGUUGGGCUGUUCGCCCAUUAAAGCGGUACGCGAGCUGGGUUCAGAACGUCGUGAGACAGUUCGGUCCCUAUCCGUCGUGGGCGUAGGAAAUUUGAGAGGAGCUGUCCUUAGUACGAGAGGACCGGGAUGGACGCACCGCUGGUGUACCAGUUGUUCUGCCAAGGGCAUAGCUGGGUAGCUAUGUGCGGAAGGGAUAAGUGCUGAAAGCAUCUAAGCAUGAAGCCCCCCUCAAGAUGAGAUUUCCCAUAGCGUAAGCUAGUAAGAUCCCUGAAAGAUGAUCAGGUUGAUAGGUUCGAGGUGGAAGCAUGGUGACAUGUGGAGCUGACGAAUACUAAUAGAUCGAGGACUUAACCAU